rnacentral:rRNA from 1 species
AUUGAACGCUGGCGGCAGGCCUAACACAUGCAAGUCGAGCGGAGCGGCGGACGGGUGAGUAAUGCCUAGGAAUCUACCUGGUAGUGGGGGAUAACGUCCGGAAACAGGCGCUAAUACCGCAUACUAUCAGAUGAGCCUAGGUCGGCUUAGCUGGUUGGUGGGGUAAAGGCCUACCAAGGCGACGAUACGUAACUGGUCUGAGAGGAUGAUCAGUCACACUGGAACUGAGCAACGGGCCAGACUCCUACGUGAGGCAGCAGUGGGGAAUAUUGGACAAUGGGCGAAAGCCUGACCCAGCCAUGCCGCGUGUGUGAAGAAGGUUUUCGGAUUGUAAAGCACUUUAAGUUGGGAGGCGUUACCAACAGAAUAAGCACCGGCUAACUUCGUGCCAGCAGCCGCGGUAAUAC